UACGUAGGUGGCAAGCGUUGUCCGGAAUUAUUGGGCGUAAAGCGCGCGCAGGCGGCUUCUUAAGUCUGAUGUGAAAUCUCGGGGCUCAACCCCGAGCGGCCAUUGGAAACUGGGAAGCUUGAGUACAGAAGAGGAGAGUGGAAUUCCACGUGUAGCGGUGAAAUGCGUAGAUAUGUGGAGGAACACCAGUGGCGAAGGCGACUCUCUGGUCUGUAACUGACGCUGGGGCGCGAAAGCGUGGGGAGCGAUCCGG
rnacentral:rRNA from 1 species